rnacentral:rRNA from 1 species
UUUAUGUAAGGUUAUUUCUGCUCUAUGAUUAUUUUUAAAUGGCCGCAGUAAACUGACUGUGCUAAGGUAGCAUAAUAAAUUGGCCUUUAAUUAAGGUCUGGUAUGAACGGAAUAAUAUGUAGUUUCUGUCUUAUUUGUAAUAUUUUUAAUUUACUAAUUAGGUGAAAAUUCCUUUAAGUACAUGUGUAGGACGAUAAGACCCUUAGAAUUAUUUAAUAGGUGAUACUCAAAGUGUAUCAAACAUUUUUGUUGGGGCGACAUAUUAUCAUAAAACAUAAUAAUCAAUUUAAUUUACAAGACUAAUUUAUUUAGUUAGAACUAAUUACCUGAGGGAUAACAGCAUAAUAUAUAUAUAUGUUUAUGACCUCGAUGUUGGACUAGGUAAAUUAUUAACUAACAGUUAAUAAUUUUUGUUCUGUUCGAACAUUUUAC